GCUUAUGGCCAUACCACCCUGAGCAUGCUCGAUCUCAUUGAUCUCACAAGCCAAGCAAGGUUGGGCCUUUUUAGUAUGUGGAUUGGAGACUGCCUGGGAAUAUCAGAUGCUGUGAGGC
rnacentral:rRNA from 1 species